ACGACCCUCUUAAACUACUGUAGCAACCACUAAUUCCCCCUGGGAGCAGCUAGAGAGGGGCACUUGGAAACCUUCACGAGCUCGGUGCCUGAAGGUCUCUGAGGCUCUUGCCCUCAAGAUCUCUCCCAUUCAGCCCCGAUUCUCCGGACAACCUGACCUAGCAUGUCGCCAGCCUCUUGGUGAAACGCCUAAAGUGUGCUGCCCCACUUCUCUUGAAAGUUUACACCGAAGGGAUGAGGUUUUGCCCUUUACAGGGUUGGGGCACAAAGUCGGAGUCGCUGCGGCUCCGAAAUAGAAACGGAGUUGCCCAUUUCGUAUGCUUCAUCAACAUCUGCUUGCAUUUUGAAAUCCUAGUCUUAACUUUUACACAACUUUUAGAGAAAUGGCUGCCCUCCUAGAGGGAAAAACGAACUACAGUAAUUCCAAUUCCAAUGUAAUCUUUGUAAGACUACAAAAUCUUUCCAGUUUAAAGAUUUUUCUUUUCCCACAGACUAAACAAAGUCAGAGUAUUUUGUGUUCUACUGGUGCAUUGUUACUAGGUAACCUCAAUUUUUUGAAAUUCCAAGUAAUUGAAGGAUCACUUUUGUAGAUCCUAAAUGCUACCAAAAAAGAAACCAGUUUUUAUCUACUUCAUAUGUAUAGCGUUUAAGAGAUGAGGAGACCUGCUUUGAAAGAAUAAACUCUUAACCUUACAUUAUAGCUGUAGCAGCUUCUUAAAGAUUGAAGUUUGAUGUGAAGUUCUUUUAUUGAAUUGCAGGUUAAACCAUCUUACUUCCUACUGCUUGAAAUCUAAAUCCAGAGAGAUUUGUGGCUCAAGGAUAUCUUCAAAUAAAAGUUUUAUUGCUAAAAUGUCAGUUAAAAUUAUGCCUAGGUAGGUGCUGAAGUAGGAGAGGCUUUGACGUAGCAGAGUGACUGGCAGUGAAUUUUGUGGGUACCUUGUGAUGAGUCUUAUUAUCAGUUACAAAUGGUCAAAACAUGCCUAAGCCUUCAGCCUUACUAAAAGUUUAACAGAACUUGGCCUGGCGCGGUGGCUCACACCUGUAAUCCCAGCCCUUUGGGAGGUGGAGGCGGGUGGAUCACCUGAGGUCAGGAGUUUGAGACCAACCUGGCCAACAUGGUGAAGCCCCUUCUCUACUAAAAAUACAAAAUUAGCCGGGUGUGGAGUUGCGUGCCUGUAAUCCCAGCUACUCGGGAGGCUGAGGCAGGAGAAUCGCUUGAACCCAGGAGGCAGAGUUUGCCAUGAGCCUCUCACCGUUGCACUCCAGCCUGGGUGACAGAGUAAGACUCUGUCUCAAAAAAAAAAAAAAGUUUUCCAGAACUGAAGUUCUGCUCCUCCUAUUAAUAAUUUUUCUUCAGUUGGAGUGACAACUCCAUAGCAUUAACUUUUUUCCCUCUGCUCCCCAGAUGUUUUACAACUGGAUUACAAAAUAGGAUCAUCAUUGACUAGGGUCCUCAAUCCAAAACUGGAACCACUUACUCCUAACUGAAGCUUCAGUACACUUGAUGCCUACUGUGGUUUGAUUUUUUACCUACAUAUGACAUGUUCGCUCUACACUGAUCAAGAGAUGUGAGUUUAAAAAAGCUAACUAACUUGGUAGGACUUAAAUAGUCAUAGGAACAGAAAAGGCUUUUAAAGACGAUCUUUGUGGGUCUUCUGUCAAGAAUUUAAUGGAGGAUCCUAGACACUUGGGAUUCAUCCUCCAUUAUGAAGUAAUCUAGUGAAAUUUUUGGAUGCUACUGAGUGGCAAAUACUGUACCAGCAGCAGAAAUUUGUUACUCAUUUGUAAAUGAAACUUACUAUCCUUAAGGUUGACCCACAAGCUUUUCCAUUCUUUGCUAAGAAAAAUUGGGAAUAGGCCGGGCACAGUGGCUCACGCCUGUAAUCCCAGCACUUUGGGAGGCCAAGGCGGGCAGAUCACGAGGUCAAGAGAUUGAGACCGUCCUGGCAGACAUGGUGAAACCCCAUCUCUACUAAAAAUACAAAAAUUAGCUGAGUGUGGUGGUGUGCACCUGUAGUCACAGCUACUUGGGAAGCUGAGGCAGGAGAAUUGCUUGAACCCCGGGGCUGGAGGUUGCAGUGAGCCGAGAUCGUGCCACUGCACUCCAGCCUGGGUGACAGAGCAAGAUUCUGUCUCAAAAAAAAAAAAAGAAAAAAUGGGAAUAAAACCAGCUUAUUAGUGGCCUCCUGGUUAUCUAAGGAAAACACAGGACUGUAGGACUGAAAAUUAGGAACUCCGAGCUCUGUUUCUGUGUGUGCUGCCCUUAACUUGGUUGACUUGGCCAGAGGCCAAAUACUGAUAAUGAGGCCAAACUGGUCAUUUUGCUGCUUAGUCUAUUGUUCAUCUACUGUUCAACCAGACUUUCAACUUCCUUUUCAGCUCUCCCCUCUCAGAUGAGUUGCAUUAUGCUUUUAUGACAAAUUCUACAAACUCUAUAUUCAUUUGAAAAUGGUAUCAGCACUGUCUCCCUCAUAAAUACCUAGAGGAGUAACUAGUCUUAAGUCGCUAUGUAAACACUUACUCCUUGUAACUUUGUUAUAUGAGAACUUCACAAGGAAUGCUUCAAAGAUCAUUGGGGCAGUUGGAAAGCCUGCCUUACCAAAGUGUGGCCUUAGUUGUCCAUAGCAUCACAAAAGAGCCAUCCAAGUAGGCUGAAUGAGGAUCAGUCUCUCAGGGUGCCCACUGGUUGUGGCUGUGAAGUCCUGGACACUCAUUUUGCCUGAUGGCCAAAUCCUAGGGAGCAGUGACUAUGUGUGAGUAGGAUUCGUUGACAGAGGUAGGAGGUUUUUUUUUUGUUUUUUUUUCCUGCUGCCUGUAUAAUUGCAGAAAAGGAGUGAUUCUUUACAGUAAUUCCCCCUCUUCGGGAUGAAGAUGCUUGCUUCUGUUUGGUUUCCACAGUUAAAUCAAUUUUUUUUCCUUUUCUUUUGAGAUGGAAUCUUGCUCUGUCGCCCAGGCUGGAGUGCAGUGGCGCGAUUUCGCCCACUGCAACCUCCACCUCCCAGGUUUAAGCGAUUCUCCUGCCUCAGCCUCCCGCGUAGCUAGGAUUACAGGCACUCACCACCAUGCCUGGCUAAUUUUUGCAUUUUAUUUUUUUCUGGAACGGAGUUUCACCUGGUUGCCAAGGCUGGAGCGCGAUGGUGUGAUCUUGGCUCACCACAACCUCUGCCUCCUGGGUUCAAGCGAUUCUCCUGCCUCAGCCUCCCAAGGAGCUGGGACUAUAGGCAUGCGCCACCAUGCACGGCUAGUUUUGUAUUUUUAGUAGAGAUGGGGUUUCUCCAUGUUGGUCAGGCUGGUCUUGAACUCCCAACCUCAGGUGAUCCUCCCACCUUGGCCUCCCAAAGUGCUGGGAUUACAGUCAGUGAGCCACUGUGCCCGGCCUGUAUUUGUAUUUUUAGUAGAGACAGGGUUUUACCAUGUUGGCCAGGCUGGUCUCCAACUCCUGACCUCAGGUGGUCCGCCCACCUCGGCCUCCCAGUGUGCUAGGAUUGCAGGCGUGAGCUACGGUGCCUGGCCAGUUAAUCAGUUUUUUACCCUCCUGUGUUUAGGCCCCAACAUCCUGUUCUUGAUCUUUUUUGGCAAAAAUUUGGCCAAAGAUUGAAAUUUUGCCUCCUGGACCAUAUAUUUUGCUCCAGUUGCAAAGUAUGACUUUUAUCCUUUGGUCAGCAGUUCCCAUGGUGUUUAGGGCCUGAAUUUGACAUUCUUUUUUUUUUUUCUUUUUGAGAUGGAGUCUAGCUCUGUUGCCCAGGCUGGAGUGCAGUGGCACGAUCUCGGCUUGCCGCAACCUCUGCCUCCCGGCUUCAAGCAGUUCUCCCUGCCUCAGCCUCCCAAAUAUCUGGGAUUACAGGCGCCCACCACCACACCCGGCUAAUUUUUGUAGCUUUUUUUGUUUGUUUGUUUGUUUUUGAGAGUCUCACUCUGUCACCAGACUGGAGUGCAGUGGCGCAGUCUCGGCUCACUGCAACCUCUGCCUCCUGGGUUCAAGCAAUUCUCCUGCCUCAGCUUCCCAAGUAGCUGGGACUACGGGUGGGCACCACCAUGCCUAGCUAAUUUUUUUUCUGUAUUUUUAGUAGAGACGGAGUUUUACCAUAUUGGCCAGGAUGGUCUCGAUCUCUUGACCUUGUGAUGCGCCCGCCUCGGCCUCCCAAAGUGCUGGGAUUACAGGCGUGAGCCACCGUACCUGGCAACAUUCUCUUUUUUUAAAAAAAUAACUUUUUAUUUCUAGCCUCAACCAUUUACACUUUGCUUGAGAAAGAAUAAUAAAGUGGAAUUGUUAUUCCAGUGAUGUUGUGCAAAUGUGAGAAAUAGUACUUCCCCCAAAAAAACAAACCUCGAAACCCCACAAACUCAAGUGUACUUAAGUACUUAACGUUCAAGUACUUUUUAACUAUAACCAACUUUUCCACCACACUGUUGUGAAUAUUUGUUGCUAGCUGUUAUGGGUAUAAGUGAUCAAGGGAAGAACUGAUGCAUUACCUAAUGCUUGACUAAAUAUAGCCAGCCCUUAAGUAGGUAGAGUAUUUGGUUGUGGGUUUUGUUGUUUAAGUCUGUGGAGUCCCUCUUUGGUUUCUUUAACUUUUGCAGUCAUUAGGGCAGAGUAUAUUUAUUUACAUUUCUCCAAGCAAAGUCUUGCUCUGUUGCCCAGGCUGGAGUACGGUGGCGCGAUCUCGGCUCACUACAACCUCUGCCUCCCAGGUUCAAGCAAUUGUCCUGCCUCAGCCUCCCGAGUAGCUGGGAUUACAGAUACCCGCCACGAUGCCUGGCUAAUUUUUGUAUUUUUAAUAGAGACGAGAUUUUGCCAUGUUGGCCAGGCUGGUUUCGAACUUUUGACCUCAAGUGAUCCAUCUGCCUUGGCCUCCCAACGUGCUGGGAUUACAGGCGUGAGCCACCAUGCCUGGCCUAAAUUUACUUUUUAAUAGAGACGAGGCUGGUUAUGUUGCCUGUGUUGGUAACUGUGUUGCCUAGGCUGGUGUCAAGUGCUUGAGCUCAAGUGACCCUCCUGCCUUGGCUUCCCAAAGUGUUAGGAUUACAGGCAUGAAGCCACUGCGCCUGGCCUGUCUAAUCUUUAUUAUGCUUCCCCUCUUUAGAGAUACUUAGUCUGUUUUUCAGAACUAAACCAAUCUGGAACUCCCUGGCUCUCUCUCCUAAAACUCUGAAGUCUAGAGGACCCUGUCUCCUGAGGGCUCUAAGAAAAGCUGUCCAGCUAGCUGUGUCAGUUUGAGAAGCAGUUUUUCCUGAUUGAAUACCUAGGCCCCAGUAGGAAAAAGGGAACAAACUGAAAUUGCUAAUUUGUAAGCCUGGUCUUUUGAGCAGCUCAGUUAAAAUGCUUGACAGAGGACUUAAGUGAAAGGCUAGAGUGGGCUUGGGGUUCAUUUAUCAUCAAAGCCCCCUGUUCAAUGUAGGUAAAUCAGCGGGGUGUGUUGGUAUCCACCUUUAGUCCCAGCUACUCAGGAACCUGAGGUGGGAGGAUCACUCAAGCCCAGGAAUUUGAGGCUGCAGUGAGAUAUGAUAGCGCCACUGCAGUCUAGCUUGGGCAACUGAGGGAGACCCCAUCUUUUUUUUUUUUUUUCAACUUUUUUUUUUUUUUUGAGACAGGGUUUCACUAUGUUACCCAGGCUGGUCUCAAACUACUGAGCUCAAGGAUUCUGCCCACCUUGGCCUUCCAAAGUGCUAGGGUUACAGGUGUGAGUCACCGGGCCUGUUGAAACCCCAAUUCUUUAAAAAAAAAAAAAAAGCUUUUUUUUUUUUUUUUUUUGAGACAGAGUCUUAUUCUGCCACCUAGGCUGGAGUGCAGUGUGGCGUGAUGUUGGCUCACUGCAACCUUUGCCUCCCGGAUUCAAGUGAUUCUCCUGCCUCAGCCUCCCAAGUAGCUGGGAUUACAGGCACCCACCACCAUGCCCAGCUAAUUUUUGUGUUUUUUUGUUGUUGUUUUUGUUUUUGAGACGGAGUCUCGCUCUGUUGCCCAGGCUGGAGUGCAGUGGUGUGAUCUCGGCCCACUGCAAGCUCUGCCUUCCGGGUUCACGCCAUUCUCCUGUCUUAGCCUCCCGAGUAGCUGGGACUAAAGGCGCCCGCCACCACACCCAGCUAAUUUUUUGUAUUUUUAGUAGAGACGGGGUUUCACCAUGUUAGCCAGGAUGGUCUCGAUCUCCUGACCUCGUGAUCCGCCCGCCUUGGCCUCCCAAAGUGCUGGGAUUACAGGCGUGAGCCACCACACCUGGCCAAUUUUUGUAUUUUUAGUAGAGACAGGGUUUCACCAUGUUGGCCAGGCUGGUCUGGAACUCUUGACCUCAGGUGAUCUGCCUGCCUCGGCCUCCCAAAGUGCUGGGAUUACAGGCGUGAGCCACUGCGCCCGGCCUUUUUUUUUUUUUUUUUUUGAGGCUGAGUUUCACUCCUGUUGCCCAGGCCGGAGCACAAUGGGGCGAUCUCGGCUCACUGCAAACUCCGCAUCCCGGGUUCAUGCCAUUCUCCUGCCUCAGCCUCUCAAGUAGCUGGGACUACAGGCACCUGCCACCAUGCUCGGCUAAUUUUGUAUUUUGUAUUUUUAGUAGAGAUGAGGUUUCUCCAUAUUGGUCAGGCUGGUCUCUUAACUCCAGAUCUCAAGAGAUCCACCCACCUCAGCCUCCCAAAGUGCUGAGAUUAUAGGCAUGAACCACCACGCCCGGCCCAACCUUUUUUUUUUUAAAUUAAAAUAUAGGUAACUAAUUGUUUUCUCUGCCAGGAGAGCAAUAUGCUAGUUAAAUGUUUCAAUAGAAAGUGAAGAAAUAGGAGGCCGGGUGUGGUGGCUCACACCCAUCAUCCCAGCACUUUGGGAGGCCGAGGCAGGUGGAUCACGAGGUCAGGAGAUCGAGAUCAUCCUGGCUAACACGGUGAAACCCCGUCUCUACUAAAACUACAAAAAAAAAAUUAGCUGAGCGUGGUGGCGGGUGCCUGUAGUCCCAGCUACUUGAGAGGCUGAGGCAGGAGAAUGGCAUGAACCUGAGAGGCGGAACUUGCAGUGAGCCGAGAUCGCGCCACUGCACUCCAGCCUGGGCGACAGAGCAAGACUCCAUCCCUCACCCCCCCCCCAAAAAAAAGAAAAGUGUAGGAAUAGGCUGGGCUUGGUGGCUCACAACUGUAAUUUUGGGAGGCGGAGGAGGGCGCAUUGCUUGAGCCCAGGAGUUUGAGCCCAGGAGUUUGAGACCAGCCUGUGCAACAGGGUGAAACCCUGUCUCUCCAAAAAAAAAAAAAAAAAAAAAAAAAUAGCCAGGCGUGGUGGCAAGUACCAGCUACUCAGGAGGCUGCAGUGGGAGGAUCGCUUUAGCCUGGGAAGUGGAGGUUGCCGUAAGUCCAGAUCGCGACACUGCACUCCAGCCUAGGCAACAGAGCAAGACCCAUCUCAAAAAAAAAAAAAAAAAAAAGCCAGGCGCGGUGGCUUAUGCCUAUAUUGCCAACACUUUGGGAGGCUGAGACGGGCGGAUCACUUGAAGUCAGGAGUUCGAGACCAGCCUGGCAACCAUGGCGAGACCCCGUCUCUACUAAAAAUAGAAAAAUUAGCCAGUUGCAGUGGCGUGCACCUGUAAUCCCAGCUACUCGGGAGGCUGAGGCAGGAGAAUCGGUUGAACCCAGGAGGCUGAGGUUGCAGUGAGCCGAAAUCACGCUACUGCACUCCAGCCUGGCGACAGAGUGAGACUCCGUCUCAAAAAAAAAAAAAAAGUAUAGAAAGUGUUAAAACUGAAAUUUUGAAUAAACCUCAUCAUUGUGAGAAUAUAAAUGCAAAAAAAAAGGUAAAAUGCUAGUGCCUUUGAAAGCAAAAUUCAGACAUACUUGCAUAGCUUAAGGUAAAUUGAUGUAUGAGAGUUAUUUGUAAUUAGAUAUUUGUGUAUAUAUAUAUUUUUGAGACAGUUUCGCUCUUCUUGCCUAGGCUGGAGUGCAAUGGCGCGAUCUCCUCUCACUGCAACCUCCACCUCCCGGGUUCAAACGAUUCUGCUGCCUCAGCCUCCCGAGUAGCUGGGAUUACAGGCAUGUGCCACCACACCCGGCUAAUUUUUGUAUUUUUAGUAGAGACGGGGCUUCUGUAUGUUGGUCAGGCUGGUCUCUUAACUCCUGACCUCAGGUGAUCUGCCCACCUCAGCCUCCCAAAGUGCUGGGAUUACAGGCAUGAGCCACUGUGCCCAGCCUAGAUAUCUGUAUAUUUGAAGACUGGGCUGAAUUUGUCUUCUAAAACAUACUUUUUCUGAUGAUAAAUGCAUUUAUAGUCUUUCCAAGAUUCAUUUUCUAAAUAUCAUUUUUCUAAUACUAGGGGAAAUAAGAUUUUCAUAGCUGAAUCCCUCUUUAAGAAGAGGGUCUGGGCUGGGCGCAGUGGCUCAUGCCUGUAAUCCCAGCACUUUGGGAGGCCGAGGCGGGCGGAUCACCUGAGGUCGUGAGUUCGAGAGCACCCUGACCAACAUGGAGAAACUACGUCUCUACUAAAAAUACAAAAUUAGCUGGGGGUGGUGGCACAUGCCUGUAAUCCCAGCUACUAGGGAGGCUGAGGCAGGAGAAUCGCUUGAACCUGGGAGGCAGAGGUUGCGGUGAGCCAAGAUUGCACCAUUGCACUCCAGCCUGGGCAACAAGAGCGAAACUCCGUCUCAAAAAAAAAAAAAAAUAAAGAAAAAGGGUCUAAUAUCAGAGAUAAUCACUGCUGCAUCUUACAGUUCAGUCAAAAUGAGGCUUCAGCUCUGCACUGUAAAGCCAGAGGGCACUGUUGCUGCCUUUCCAAGCAGCUGUUUUUCUGGGGCUGCUGCAUGACGUCAUAGCAGAAGAAAAAAACACGAAGAAAA
rnacentral:lncRNA from 1 species